UAACUUUGGCAGCCUGGUUUUGCAGUGCUGGUGGAGUGUUACUAUUGUCAGCAAGCAAUAAAUGAAGCUACAGCCACAAGAAAAUAAAGACAGAAUUAUGCAAAACCAAUUUCAUUUGCAUAAUCAGUAGCAAACUUUGCUUGCUUAGUCAUGUAAUUAAUGAAUUAACUCUGGGUUUUUCGUCAAGAACAGAUUUGUUCCUUGUUGAAAUUGCCAACAGCAGGGAGAAGAAGUUGGAUUGAACGACGUCCGGCCGUAAGGAACAAUUGUAUAAAAAAGUUCUUGGCUUGGAGAGGUUAAAAUUGGAGCUUCAAGCAUGUGGAUUGAAAUGUGGAGGUACUUUGCAAGAACGUGCUGCCGGGCUUUUUCUGCUCAAAACGACACCUUUGGAGAUGCUUCCAAAGAAGCUGUUUGCCAAGAAAUGAAAAGCCUUGUAUGCUUAUGUAAACUUAGUUUCAGUUUGGAGCUAAUUGAAAAUAAACUUCCUUUUCUUCUCACUUGAUCAAACUUCAAGUUUUGAAAUACUCGGGUGAAGAUAUCUACUAAUCUAGCUUCAACUAAAUGUGUUGUAUAAGGAAUAUCAUUUCUGCAAUUUGUAUUAUGGUUUAGAUUGAAUUGUUUAUGUUUCUACUGAUUGUUACU